GCCGUUUUAGCUCAGUUGGUAGAGCAAGGGACUGAAAAUCCCUGUGUCCCUGGUUCAAUUCCUGGAGACGGCA
rnacentral:tRNA from 2 species